CACAUGCAANUCGAACGGUAACAGGUCUUCUGAUGCUGACGAGUGGCGAACGGGUGACUAAUACAUCGGAACGUGCCCGAGAGUGGGGGAUAACGAAGCGAAAGCUUUGCUAAUACCGCAUACGAUCUCAGGAUGAAAGCAGGGGACCGCAAGGCCUUGCGCUCACGGAGCGGCCGAUGGCAGAUUAGGUAGUUGGUGGGGUAAAGGCUCACCAAGCCGACGAUCUGUAGCUGGUCUGAGAGGACGACCAGCCACACUGGGACUGAGACACGGCCCAGACUCCUACGGGAGGCAGCAGUGGGGAAUUUUGGACAAUGGGCGCAAGCCUGAUCCAGCAAUGCCGCGUGCAGGAAGAAGGCCUUCGGGUUGUAAACUGCUUUUGUACGGAGCGAAAAGGUCUUCCCUAAUACGGGAGGCUGAUGACGGUACCGUAAGAAUAAGCACCGGCUAACUACGUGCCAGCAGCCGCGGUAAUACGUAGGGUGCGAGCGUUAAUCGGAAUUACUGGGCGUAAAGCGUGCGCAGGCGGUUUUGUAAGACAGGCGUGAAAUCCCCGGGCUCAACCUGGGAAUGGCGCUUGUGACUGCAAAGCUGGAGUGCGGCAGAGGGGGAUGGAAUUCCGCGUGUAGCAGUGAAAUGCGUAGAUAUGCGGAGGAACACCGAUGGCGAAGGCAAUCCCCUGGGCCUGCACUGACGCUCAUGCACGAAAGCGUGGGGAGCAAACAGGANUAGAUACCCUGGUAGUCCAAUC
rnacentral:rRNA from 1 species